GGGGUUGUAGCUCAGUGGUAGAGCUCAUGUCUACAACAUGUGAGACACUGGGUUCAAUCCUA
rnacentral:tRNA from 1 species